rnacentral:rRNA from 1 species
UACACUCCUGCGGGAGGCAGCAGUGGGGAAUAUUGGACAAUGGGCGCAAGCCUGAUCCAGCCAUGCCGCGUGAGUGAUGAAGGCCCUAGGGUUGUAAAGCUCUUUCACCGGUGAAGAUAAUGACGGUAACCGGAGAAGAAGCCCCGGCUAACUUCGUGCCAGCAGCCGCGGUAAUACGAAGGGGGCUAGCGUUGUUCGGAUUUACUGGGCGUAAAGCGCACGUAGGCGGACUAUUAAGUCAGGGGUGAAAUCCCGGGGCUCAACCCCGGAACUGCCUUUGAUACUGGUAGUCUUGAGUUCGAGAGAGGUGAGUGGAAUUCCGAGUGUAGAGGUGAAAUUCGUAGAUAUUCGGAGGAACACCAGUGGCGAAGGCGGCUCACUGGCUCGAUACUGACGCUGAGGUGCGAAAGCGUGGGGAGCAAACAGGAUUAGAUACCCUAGUAGUCCCA